UCUUUAGGUGACUUAAUUGACUGAAGCUCUUCUCACACUGGGAGCACUGGUAGGGCCUCUCUCCUGUGUGAAUCCGCUGGUGUGUCUUUAGGUUUCUUAAAUCACUGAAGCUCUUCCCACACUGGGAGCACUGGUAGGGCCUCUCUCCUGUGUGAAUUCGCUGGUGUCUCUUCAGGUGACUUAAAUAUCUGAAGCUCUUCUCACACUGGGAGCACUGGUAGGGCCUCUCUCCUGUGUGAAUACGCUGGUGGCUCUUUAGGAUUCCUAACACUCUGAAGCUCUUCCCACACUGGGUGCACUGGUAGGGUCUCU